CAGUCGCCGCGGUAAUACGUAGGGCGCAAGCGUUAUCCGGAAUUAUUGGGCGUAAAGAGCUCGUAGGCGGUUUGUCGCGUCUGCCGUGAAAGUCCGGGGCUCAACCCCGGAUCUGCGAUGGGUACGGGCAGGCUAGAGUGAGGUAGGGGAGACUGGAAUUCCUGGUGUAGCGGUGAAAUGCGCAGAUAUCAGGAGGAACACCGAUGGCGAAGGCAGGUCUCUGGGCAUUAACUGACGCUGAGGAGCGAAAGCAUGGGGAGCGAACAGGAUUAGAUACCCGGGUAGUCCCUGUCUCUUAUAC
rnacentral:rRNA from 1 species